rnacentral:rRNA from 1 species
AUGCAAAUUAGAGUCCAAAACAAGAGGAAAAGCAUUAGGAAAAUUAGAUACGUUGGAGACGUAUCAACCUCCCACUCCACUGGUGAUGAAACUGCAAGCCAGGACAUAGAAACAAAGGCAUCAACGCCAACUCCUCAACGAGAAGCACCACGGGUCAUGACUGGUCGUGAACUACUCAUCAGCUUGCACCAAAAGAUUGACAGCAAUCAUGAUUGGACAAAGCAUCAACUUGAUUCUAUUCAUGCAAAUAUGACAGUGAUGCAUAACUCAGUCCGCAAGAACCACUACUACGCCCAUGAAAUAUUUGACAGGACUUGGGCCAUUCUUUCACAUCUGAAGACAGAUGAAGAACUUGUUGAGAUGGAAUUCUAA